ensembl:lncRNA
AUGUACGACUCACACUCACUAGUAAUGUCCUCAACCCUGAUGAAUUAUCUUGCUGGGGUAUCAUCUCAGAUUUUUGGACAGAUCUCUUUAACAAACAGACCAGGGGAAAGGAGAAGGAUGACGGGUGUGCUCAUUCUAACGUUCUGUCUGCUGGGAGCAGCUUUGACUAGUUCAGUCCCUCAGUAUGAUGUCACGGAUGAGCUACCCCCACAGAGAGAGAUGUCUGAACAGGUCGUUCAGUAUGGUACCUUGGACCAGUUUCCCCUACAGAGAGAGAUGGUUCCUCAGGUGUCUCAGACAGACAUUCUGGAUCAGAUGAUCCCUCCACAACUCAACCCUCAGGUCACCGUACUACCACAGGUGCCAGGGAACCAGGUAGACCACACCCCCCCCUGGAACUCCUCCUCCUCACCUCAACAGGUCUCUGACCUACCACAGCUGCCAGGGAACCAGGUAGACCACACACCCCCCUGGAACUCCUCCUCCUCACCGCAACAGAUCUCUGACCUACCACAGCUGCCAGGGAACCAGGUAGACCACCCCCCCCCCCGCCCCCCUGGAACUCCUCCUCCUCACCUCAACAGGUCCCUGUACUACCACAGUUGCCAAGGGAACCAGUUAGACCACACCCCCCUGGAACUCCUGUGGAGUUAUUCAGUUAAGUUCAGGUUGUAAAUGUAUUCUGUUGAUCUGUCAUCCUCAGACCACGAGUUCCUCUGAGUCCCAGAGCUCUGACCAGAGCCACUCAUCAGAGGUGAGGGAGUGAGAGUGAGAGUGAGAGAGAGAGAGAGAGAGAGAGAGAGAGAGAGAGAGAUGAGAGAGAGAGAGAGAGAGAUAGAGAGAGAGAGAGAGAGAGAGAGAGACAGAGAGAGAGUAAGAGAGAAAGACAGAGACAGAGAGAGAGACAGAGAGACAGAGAGAGAGAGUAAGAGAGAAAGAGAGAGAGAGAGAACGUACAGACUCAGUGAGCAUAGCCUUGCUAUUGAGAAAGGCCACUGUAGGCAAGAGAAGACAGGCUAUGUGCUCACUGACCACAAAAUGAGGUGGAAACUGAGCUGCAAUUCUAACCUCCUGUCUAAUGUAUAACCAUAUUAGAGACACAUAUUUCCCUCAGAUUACACAGAUACACAAAGAAUUUGAAAACAAACCCAAUUUGGAUGAACUGAAAAACCACAGUGUGCCAUCACAGCAGCAAGAUGUGUGACCUGUUGCACAAGGGCAACCAGUGUAGAACAAACACUGUAAAUACUACCCAUAUUUAUCUGAUUAGUCAUCUUCACCCACUAUUUAUUCUACAACUAUUUACACAUUGUUAAAACACAGUACAUUGCUGAUAAUAUACAUUUUUAAUGAACCUUUAUGAGCACAAUGUUUACUGUAAAACAUUUAUAUUUGUUAGUCGUUUCUUUGGUUCAACUCACCUAUUUUUCUUGUUUAUUUCACUUGCUUUGACAAUGUAAACAUGUUUAACAUGCCAAUAAAAGCCCCUUUCAAAUGAAUUGUUAGAAAGGAGAGAGGAGAGAGAGAAAAAAAUUGAGGAGAAAGAGAGGAGAGAAAGAAGAGAGAAAGAAGAGAGAGGAGAGAGGAGAGUGAAAGAAGAGAGGAGAGCGAAAGAAGAGAGGAGAGAGAAAGAAGAGAGGAGAGAGAGAAAGAAGAGAUGAGAGAAAGAAGAGAGGAGAGAGAAAGAAGAGAGGAUGAGACAAAGAAAGAAGAGAGAGAAGAGAGAGAAAUAAGAGAGGGGAUAGAGAAAUAAGAGAGGGGAUAGAGAAGAGAGGAGAGAGGAGAGAGAAAGAAGAGGAGAGAGAAAAAGAAGAGAGAGGAGAGAGAAAGAAGAGAGAGGAGAGAGAAAGAAGAGAGAAAGAAGAGAGAGGAGAGAGAAGAGAGGAGAGAGGAGAGAGAAAGAAGAGAGAGGAGAGAAAGAAGAGAGAAUAGAGAAAGAAGAGAGAGAAGAGAGAAAGAAGAGAGAGGAGAGAGAAAGAAGAGAGGAGAGAUAAAGAAGAGAGGAGAGAGAGGAGAGAGAAAGGAGAGAUAGGAGAGAGAAGAGAGAAAGAAGAGAUGAGAGAGAAAGAAGAGAAGAGAGAGAGAAAGAAGAGAGAGGAGAGAGAAAGAAGAGAGAGGAGAGAGAAAGAAGAGAGAGGAGAGAGAAGAGAGAGAAGAGAGAAAGAAGAGAAAGAAGAGAGGAGAGAAAGAGAGAGGAGAGAGAAAGAAGAGAGGACAGAGAGAAAGAAGAGAGGAGAGAGAAAAAGAGGAGAGAGAAAAAGAGGAGAGAAGAGAAAGAAAGAGAGAAGAGGGGGAGGAAGAAGAGAGAGGAGAGAAAGAAGAGAGAAAUAGAGAAGAGAGAAAUAAAGAAGAGAGAAAUAGAGAAGAGAGAGGAAAAGAGAGAAGAAAGGAGAGUGUGUGUUGUGUGUCUGUGAAUAUAUAUAUAUAUAGUGUUGUCUGUCUGUGUGUGUAUAUAUAUAUAUAUAUAUAUAUAUAUAUAUAUAUAUAGUGUUGUGUGUCUGUGUGUAUAUAUAUAUAUAGUGUUGUGUCUGUGUGUAUAUAUAUAUGUAUAUAUAGUGUUGUGUCUGUGUGUAUAUAUAUAUAUAUAUAGUGUUGUGUGUCUGUGUGUAUAUAUAUAGUGUUGUGUCUGUGUGUAUAUAUAGUGUUGUGUCUGUGUGUGUAUAUAUAUAUAUAUAUAUAUAUAGUGUUGUUUGUCUGUGUGUAUAUAUAUAUAUAG